rnacentral:rRNA from 1 species
UGGGGAAUAUUGGACAAUGGGGGGAACCCUGAUCCAGCCAUGCCGCGUGUGUGAAGAAGGCCUUAUGGUUGUAAAGCACUUUAAGCGAGGAGGAGGGUACUGGUAUUAAUACUACCAGGUACUGGACGUUACUCGCAGAAUAAGCACCGGCUAACUCUGUGCCAGCAGCCGCGGUAAUACAGAGGGUGCGAGCGUUAAUCGGAUUUACUAGGCGUAAAGCGUGCGUAGGCGGCUAAUUGAGUCGGAUGUGAAAUCCCCGAGCUUAACUUGGGAAUUGCAUUCGAUACUGGUUAGCUUGAGUGUGGGAGAGGAUGGUAGAAUUCCAGGUGUAGCGGUGAAAUGCGUAGAGAUCUGGAGGAAUACCGAUGGCGAAGGCAGCCAUCUGGCCUAACACUGACGCUGAGGUACGAAAGCAUGGGGAGCAAACAGG